UGCAGCAAAGCCAACUCCACCGAAAAGCCAA
rnacentral:piRNA from 1 species